rnacentral:rRNA from 1 species
UCAGUGCGGGCAAGUUGCAUGGAAAUGCACGCCGUGGAGGGUGAGAGCCCCGUCCAACCCACACAGGACACGCCGUACGAGAGCGUUUCAGGCGAGUCGGGUAGCUUGGGAAUGCUGCUCUAAUCGGUGGUAAAUCUCAUCGAAGGCUAAAUAGCGGCUGGAGACCGAUAGCGAACAAGUACCGUGAGGGAAAGAUGACAAGCACUUUGAAAAGAGGGUGAAAAGAGCCUGAAACCGUCAUGGGGGAAGCGGAUCGCGUUGGCCUGGUGGGCGCCUGUGUGUUCAGCCUUCGGGUGCAUUGGCACAGGUGCUUAUCCGCUGUGGGUUUUCGGGGGUCGAUUUUGGAUCCCUGGAGGCUGAGGGCUCCCUUCGGGUGAGGACAGCGGAGUGACGACGCGAUACGACCCGUCUUGAAACACGGACCAAGGAGUCUAGCGCGGGUGCGAGUCGGAGGGUGCAAGCCCGUGGGCGAAGUGAAAGCGAGUGUAAAAACGAGCAGUUUGGGGCGGCAUAAGAUCGUUGAUCUCAAGACCGACCCAGAGCAGUUGCGCUGGGACCCGAAAGAUGGUGAACUAUGCCGGAGUAGGGCAAAGCCAGAGGAAACUCUGGUGGAGGCUCGUAGCGGUGCUGACGUGCAAAUCGCUCGUCCAACUUGGGUAUAGGGGCGAAAGACUAAUCGAACCAUCUAGUAGCUGGUUCCCUCCGAAGUUUCUCUCAGGAUAGCGGGCCGACAAGUUGUUUUGUGCGGUAAAGCGAAUGAUUAGCGCACGUGGGGCCAUUUCGGCUUCAGGCGAUUCUCAAACUUUAAAUGCGCAAGGGUGUCGCUGCUUAAUUGAGCGGCACCGCUAAAAACGUCGGCCCUGUGGGCCACUUUUGGUAAGC